rnacentral:misc_RNA from 1 species
GGAGGGAUCAUUAACACGUUUCCGAACGUUUAAAACAUAUUCAAAUCAACCGCGUGAUAUAAUUGAAUCAAAAAACAAACCGACCUAAAUCAAAGAGAAUUCUGUUUAGAAUGCACGGAGUGAUGAGUGUGCAUGCGGGCAACCGCAUGCAUACGGUGUAUCUAAACUGGUAUCGCGUGUCUCACUGUGUGCGCAAGUAUACAGUGUUAUUGGACUUUACAAGACCUCUUUCUUUUAGGCUUUUAACCAUAGUUCCCUUCAUCGCUGGAGCGCAACAACCCCUUUCACCACUUAUAACCACCUUGACUGAUAUGUUCUCAGCAUGGCGAAAGCCGCGUAUGAAACAACAAAUAAUCAAAUAUCUAAGCACAACUCUUAGCAACGGAUAUCUUGGUUCUCGCAACGAUGAAGAACGCAGCGAAAUGCGAUAUGUAAUGCGAAUUGCAGAAUUCAGUGAAUCAUCAAAUCUUUGAACGCAAAUGGCGGUUCGGGUUAGUCCUGAGACCACGCCUCUCUCAGUAUCGGUUCAACCUAAACUCGGAUGCGUAUGUGUGUGUGUACACGUUAAACUGUACUGACAUGCAUGCAAUACUACCGGAUAAUGAGAGUAAUAUUGCUUUUCAUGCUCUGAAAAACAGCGCAAGCUGUGUACUAGGAAUGUGCUUAGCGGUAUUUCUCUUUAAAAUUGUUGAGCUCUGAUCUCCUAGUAACCUUGUAGGCGCAAGCUUGCAAUAGCCUUUAUUGCUAUUUCUUCUCUAUUACUAGUGAACGUGGAUAAUUUCAUGCUUUCGGGUGUGAAUUGAAACGUCUCACAACGUGUAUGUGCGUUGAUGCUAUAUAGUGACAUUGUGUGAAACCACUGGGUGAAAAUCUAUACAGCGAUCUGGAAUUAAGUGAGCACGCGUUAAAAACGUGCUUGCUUUCCCCCCCUUCGAAUUAGAUCUGAGAUGAAGCGAGGAGACCCCCUGAAUUUAAGCAUAUUAUUAAGGGGAGGAAAAGGAACUAACAAGGAUUCCCCCAGUAACGGCGAGUGAAGCGGGAUGAGCUCAAGUUGAGAAUCGGUGAUCCAUGCGGGUCGUUCCGAAUUGUACCCUAGAGACGUGUGAUCAGCGUGUGACCCAGGUUUAAGUCCUUUGGAAGAAGGCAUCAGAGAGGGUGAGAAUCCCGUCCCGAACCUGGAGCUCGCCGCGUACGAUGCAUGUUCACAGAGUCGAGUUGUUUGGGAUUGCAGCUCUAAAACGGUGGUAAGGUUCAUCGAAAGCUAAAUACAGGCGAGAGACCGAUAGCGAACAAGUACCGUGAGGGAAAGAUGAAAAGAACUUUGAAAAGAGAGUUAAAAAGUACUUGAAAUUGCUAAGAGGGAAGCGCUAAAAACCAGUGUGACUGCUCCCAUUCUGCCUAUCCACCUCUCUGUUUGGCUGCGGCGUUAGUUGGUAACUCUGACGCUGUAGUGAUUAAAUGGGGAGUGGGUGGGUCCUGUGAGAGUAGCGCGUCAGGAUCAGUUCAGACUGUGCAGGAGAGGAUAUGGAUAGAAGGUAGGGUUGGCAACAACCUGUUAUAUCUGUCUUAUUCGACUGUGCUCCGGACUGAGGAACAUUUUGAAAUGGUGCGCCACUACGGCUUGUGCCUCUGUUGCUAUGUGGCACGAAUGGCUUGGAUGACAAUGUCAUGCUGUUGUUCGUGUUGCACACGCAUUGGAACGCCCCGAUGCACCACUCACGAUUCUGACUAAAUGGUUUUUAUCGACCCGUCUUGAAACACGGACCAAGGAGUCUAACAUAUAUGCGAGUAUUUGGGUGCUUGAAACCCUCAUGCGCAAUGAAAGUAAAGGUUGGCUUGUUCAACUGAGGUAGGAAACCUAGUGUAAACAGCUGGGUGGCACUAUCGACCGAUCGUCACUUGUGAAAGAUUUGAGUCAGAGCAUAUCUGUUGGGACCCGAAAGAUGGUGAUCUAUGCCUGAACAGGGUGAAGCCAGGGGAAACUCUGGUGGAGGCUCGUAGCGAUACUGACGUGCAAAUCGUUCGUCUGAUUUGGGUAUAGGGGCGAAAGACUAAUCGAACUAUCUAGUAGCUGGUUCCCUC